rnacentral:rRNA from 1 species
GAUGAACGCUGGCGGCAGGCCUAACACAUGCAAGUCGAGCGAACACACAGUAAGCGUUUUCUUCUAAGGGUAGCGGGUGACGGAUGGGUAACACAUACAUAGCCUACUUAUAAUACUUGGAGGACAACGUAAAACCGGUUCUGAUACCACAUAAUAUAUUCAACGGCAGAAAUCAGGAGUUAAACAGGCCUUGCCUGUUACAUAUAGAUGAAGUCGUGCUGGAUUAGCUAGUUGGUAAGGUAACGGCUCACCAAGGCAACGAUGCGUAGCCGAUCUGAGAGGAUGAUCAGCCACACUGGAACUGAGACACGGUCCAGACUCCUACGGGAGGCAGCAGUAGGGAAUAUUGCACAAUGGGCGCAAGCCUGAUCCAGCAAUGCCGCGUGAGUGAAGAAGGCCUUCGGGUUGUAAAGCCCUGUUGUUAGGAAAGAAAAGCUGCAUAUUAAUACCCCGCCGUUCUGACGGUACCCAAAGAGUAAGCACCGGCUAACCUCGUG